GGCGUGUGACUGCGUACCUUUUGUAUAAUGGGUCAGCGACUUAUAUUCUGUAGCAAGGUUAACCGAAUAGGGGAGCCGAAGGGAAACCGAGUCUUAACUGGGCGUUAAGUUGCAGGGUAUAGACCCGAAACCCGGUGAUCUAGCCAUGGGCAGGUUGAAGGUUGGGUAACACUAACUGGAGGACCGAACCGACUAAUGUUGAAAAAUUAGCGGAUGACUUGUGGCUGGGGGUGAAAGGCCAAUCAAACCGGGAGAUAGCUGGUUCUCCCCGAAAGCUAUUUAGGUAGCGCCUCGUGAA
rnacentral:rRNA from 1 species